CGAUAUUGCACAAAUAAUACAAAUAAUACGGAAAAGUGCAAAGGAAUAACUUUUCAUCAGUUUCCAUGUCUGGGCCGUGAAGAAAGGGAAAAAUGGGUAAAAUUUGUCCAAAACAACCGCAGUGAAGAAACCUGGUUACCAUCCGAUAGAACUUGCGUCUGUUCAUUGCAUUUUCGCGAUGAGGAUAAAUAUACCACAAAAGCGGGAAGGCGUUUUCUAAAGAAGUCUGCUGUUCCUUGUAUUGAUGUUAGUAAUAAUAAUAAAAUUUUACGGAUUUGUAUAACAAAUAAAAUAUUAUUUUAGC